UCCCAAAGCCCUGUAGGGUCACAGGGAGGGUGUCCCCAGCUCCCCCAGCCCUGCAGGGUCACACUGAGGGUGUCCCACCAAGGAAUGUCCUUCUGUGUCCCACCCACAGCCUUCCUCCUCACCAUCCUCUCCUUCACCAGCAUCAGCCCUGCCUCGCUCUUUGUCCUCUACGUGUCCACGGCCCUGAGCGUGUCCCUGCAGGGCUUCCUGCACAG
rnacentral:lncRNA from 1 species